UGACGAACGCUGGCGGCGUGCUUAACACAUGCAAGUCGAACGGAAAGGCCCUGCUUUUGUGGGGUGCUCGAGUGGCGAACGGGUGAGUAACACGCGAGUAACCUGCCCUUGACUUUGGGAUAACUUCAGGAAACUGGGGCUAAUACCGGAUAGGAGCUCCUGCUGCAUGGUGGGGGUUGGAAAGUUUCGGCGGUUGGGGAUGGACUCGCGGCUUAUCAGCUUGUUGGUGGGGUAGUGGCUUACCAAGGCUUUGACGGGUAGCCGGCCUGAGAGGGUGACCGGCCACAUUGGGACUGAGAUACGGCCCAGACUCCUACGGGAGGCAGCAGUGGGGAAUAUUGCACAAUGGGCGGAAGCCUGAUGCAGCAACGCCGCGUGCGGGAUGACGGCCUUCGGGUUGUAAACCGCUUUCGCCUGUGACGAAGCGUGAGUGACGGUAAUGGGUAAAGAAGCACCGGCUAACUACGUGCCAGCAGCCGCGGUGAUACGUAGGGUGCGAGCGUUGUCCGGAUUUAUUGGGCGUAAAGGGCUCGUAGGUGGUUGAUCGCGUCGGAAGUGUAAUCUUGGGGCUUAACCCUGAGCGUGCUUUCGAUACGGGUUGACUUGAGGAAGGUAGGGGAGAAUGGAAUUCCUGGUGGAGCGGUGGAAUGCGCAGAUAUCAGGAGGAACACCAGUGGCGAAGGCGGUUCUCUGGGCCUUUCCUGACGCUGAGGAGCGAAAGCGUGGGGAGCGAACAGGCUUAGAUACCCUGGUAGUCCACGCUGUAAACGGUGGGUACUAGGUGUGGGGUCCAUUCCACGGGUUCCGUGCCGUAGCUAACGCUUUAAGUACCCCGCCUGGGGAGUACGGCCGCAAGGCUAAAACUCAAAGGAAUUGACGGGGCCCCGCACAAGCGGCGGAGCAUGCGGAUUAAUUCGAUGCAACGCGUAGAACCUUACCUGGGUUUGACAUGGAUCGGGAGUGCUCAGAGAUGGGUGUGCCUCUUUUGGGGUCGGUUCACAGGUGGUGCAUGGCUGUCGUCAGCUCGUGUCGUGAGAUGUUGGGUUAAGUCCCGCAACGAGCGCAACCCUUGUUCACUGUUGCCAGCACGUUAUGGUGGGGACUCAGUGGAGACCGCCGGGGUCAACUCGGAGGAAGGUGGGGAUGACGUCAAGUCAUCAUGCCCCUUAUGUCCAGGGCUUCACGCAUGCUACAAUGGCUGGUACAGAGAGUGGCGAGCCUGUGAGGGUGAGCGAAUCUCGGAAAGCCGGUCUCAGUUCGGAUUGGGGUCUGCAACUCGACCUCAUGAAGUCGGAGUCGCUAGUAAUCGCAGAUCAGCAACGCUGCGGUGAAUACGUUCCCGGGGCUUGUACACACCGCCCGUCAAGUCAUGAAAGUUGGUAACACCCGAAGCCGGUGGCCUAACCGUUGUGGGGGAGCCGUCGAAGGU
rnacentral:rRNA from 1 species